UACAGAGGGUGCAAGCGUUAAUCGGAGUUACUGGGCGUAAAGGGCGCGUAGGCGGUCAUGCAAGUGAGAUGUGAAAUCCCCGGGCUUAACCUGGGAACUGCAUUUUAGACUGUGUGACUGGAGUACUGUAGAGGAUAGUGGAAUUUCCGGUGUAGCGGUGAAAUGCGUAGAGAUCGGAAGGAACACCAGUGGCGAAGGCGACUGUCUGGACAGAUACUGACGCUGAGGCGCGAAAGCGUGGGGGAGCAAACAGG
rnacentral:rRNA from 1 species